GAUGCCAGCUUCAUGACAGCGUCCAUGUGGGCGGGGCCAUCACACCUGCUGUAGCAAAUAAGAAGGGUGGGAGGAUUCUUCCUGUUUCCGCACAGCGGAACUAUUUCUUCCUUCUUGGCAGCCUCCUCUUCAUGUUGCUUGAUCAUUAUUUCUAAGCAGGAAAUAAAAAGAUUUACACACAGUGGAAUGUAGCACAUAAUAAUAUAAUAAUUGGAUAAUAACAACCUGGUCCGAUGAUAAGUUUCUUUGUUUGCGUGUAGCGUUUCCUCAUGCGGAUCACCAGGAUGACAACAAAAAUGAUCGCCGCAGCAAACACAAAAAGAAAGGCCAGAGUCCAGUAGGGAAAGUUGUGAUGUUCCGUUGUAGAUUCUGAGGGCCAGCUCUCACUGGAUCGGUUCGCAGAGUGAGAAGAGACUGGAAUGAGAGUCAGCACCUCCAAAUCCGAGUCCAUGGUUCUCGCCCGGAAAAGGAUGGAGUGCCAUCUCAAGGUUGGGGAGAAGAUCUUGCCUUAAGUGGAGGAGUUCAAGUACCUCGGAGACUUUUUUACGAGUGAGAGAAGAGUGGAUCGUGAGAUCGACAGGCGGAUCGGUGCGGCGUCUUCAGUAAUGCGGACGUUGUACCGAUCCGUUGUGGUGAAGAAGGAGCUGAGCCGGAAGGCAAAGCUCUCAAUUUACCGGUCGAUCCACGUUCCCAUCCUCACCUAUGGUCAUGAGCUUUGGGUCAUGACCGAAAGGAUAAGAUCACGGGUACAAGCGGCCCAAAUGAGUUUGGGUCUCUCCCUUAGAGAUAGGGUGAGAAGCUCUGCCAUCCGGGAGGAACUCAAAGUAAAGCCGCUGCUCCUCCACAUGGAGAGGAGCCAGAUGAGGUGGUUCGGGCAUCUGGUCAGGAUGCCACCCGAACGCCUCCCUAGGGAGGUGUUUAGGGCACAUCAGACCAGUAGGAGGCCACGGGGAAGACCCAGGACACGUUGGGAAGACUAUGUCUCCCGGCUGGCCUGGGAACGCCUCGGGAUCCCCCGGGAAGAGCUAGACCAAGUGGCUGGGGAGAGGGAAGUCUGGGCUUCCCUGCUUAGGCUGCUGCCCCCUACGGAGGAAGAUGGAUGGAUGGAUGUUGUCCAAUCAAAUCUAAAAUGUAUGCAUCACGGGGUGAUUUGUUUGGAUAAAAACAAAACAAGAAAUGAGGCGAUACAUGAUUUUCAUUGGAGAACAACAAUAUAAAACCACUUUACGCUGAGCAAUGAAACACAUGUACCGCCACAUUUUUAUUUUUAUUUCUCCCCCAAAAACACCCAAAUGUGGCAAGACAGGCAUUUUGUCACCAACAAUAAACAGCUACUGUACUUUACGCUGUCUAAUAAAAUAUGAAAUUCAUCAGUGAAAAACAAAAACAGCAAUAAUUGCAGAGAUAUAAGAACAUGAUUUUCCACGAGGCCAACAUUAAAUAUUCACUUUA